rnacentral:rRNA from 1 species
AGAGUUUGAUCAUGGCUCAGGACGAACGCUGGCGGCGUGCUUAACACAUGCAAGUCGAACGGUGAUGACGAGAGCUUGCUCUUGUUUGAUCAGUGGCGAACGGGUGAGUAACACGUGAGUAACCUGCCCCAGACUCUGGGAUAACCCCGGGAAACCGGAGCUAAUACCGGAUAUGACAUCAACCCGCAUGGGUAUGGUGUGGAAAGUUUUUCGGUCUGGGAUGGACUCGCGGCCUAUCAGCUUGUUGGUGAGGUAGUGGCUCACCAAGGCGACGACGGGUAGCCGGCCUGAGAGGGCGACCGGCCACACUGGGACUGAGACACGGCCCAGACUCCUACGGGAGGCAGCAGUGGGGAAUAUUGCACAAUGGGCGCAAGCCUGAUGCAGCGACGCCGCGUGAGGGAUGACGGCCUUCGGGUUGUAAACCUCUUUCAGCAGGGAAGAAGCGCAAGUGACGGUACCUGCAGAAGAAGCACCGGCUAACUACGUGCCAGCAGCCGCGGUAAUACGUAGGGUGCGGGCGUUGUCCGGAAUUAUUGGGCGUAAAGAGCUUGUAGGUGGUUUGUCGCGUCUGCUGUGAAAAUCCGAGGCUCAACCUCGGACUUGCAGUGGGUACGGGCAGACUGGAGUGUGGUAGGGGAGACUGGAAUUCCUGGUGUAGCGGUGGAAUGCGCAGAUAUCAGGAGGAACACCGAUGGCGAAGGCAGGUCUCUGGGCCAUUACUGACACUGAGAAGCGAAAGCAUGGGGAGCGAACAGGAUUAGAUACCCUAGUAGUCC